AUACGAAAGGUGCAAGCGUUGUUCGGAUUUACUGGGCGUAAAGAGAGUGUAGGUGGUUUAUUAAGUCGGAUGUGAAAUCCCGGGGCUCAACCUCGGAACUGCAUUCGAUACUGAUAGGCUAGAGUUUGGGAGGGGUAAGCGGAAUUCCGUGUGUAGCAUUGAAAUGCGUAGAUAUACGGAGGAACACCUGAGGCGAAGGCGGCUUACUGGACCAAUACUGACACUGAGACUCGAAAGCGUGGGUAGCAAACAGGAUUAGAAACCCUAGUAGUCC
rnacentral:rRNA from 1 species